UCCUACGGAGGCAGCAGUGAGGAAUAUUGGUAAAUGGCCGAGAGGCUGAACCAGCCAAGUCGCGUGAGGGAAGAAUGUCCUAUGGAUUGUAAACCUCUUUUGUCAGGGAGCAAAGUCACCCACGUGUGGGUGUUGGAGAGUACCUGAAGAAAAAGCAUCGGCUAACUCCGUGCAAGCAGCCGCGGUACUACGGAGGAUGCGAGCGUUAGUCGGAUUUGUUGGGUUUAAAGGGUGCGUAGGCGGGGUAUCAAGUCAGCGGUAAAAUCGUGGAGCUC
rnacentral:rRNA from 1 species